rnacentral:lncRNA from 1 species
AUCCCGUGUUGUUUUCAAUAAUGAGAAAUCUGACUUCUUCCCUUGCGAAAUUGGUGUACGGCAAGGUGAAAAUCUAUCGCCUGCUCUGUUUUCUGUAUAUCUGAACGAUUUACAAGCAUUUUUAGAAGAGUUAGAUACAAAAGGUUUACAGUCAAUAAGUGCAGACCUAGAAAAUGAACUAGAUGUGUAUCUUAAGAUUUUCUUACUGUUAUAUGCUGAUGACACUGUUUUAUUAGCAGAUAGUAGCACUG